AUUAAGAUCAGCUUUUACUAAUCAACAAAGGACAGCUUUACUAAAUAUCAUAGCGUUUUUAUUAAGUCUUGCUAAAUGUAGAAUUACUUGAAAACAAAAAAGAACCAAUUAAGAUCACCUUUUACUAAUCAACAAAGGACAGCUUUACUAAAGUAGCUUUACUAAAUAUUACAGCGUUUUUAUUAAGUCUUACUAAAUGUAGAAUUCCUUGAAAACAAAAAAGAUCCAAUUAAGAUCACCUUUUACUAAUCAACAAAGGACAGGUUUACUAAAGUAGCUUUACUAAAUAUCAUAGCGUUUUUAUUAAGUCUUAUUAAAUGUAGAAUUACUUGAAAACAAGGUGAAGGACUAAAAGAUCCAAUUAAGAUCAGCUUUUACUAAUCAACAAAGGACAGCUUUACCAAAGUAGCUUUACUAAAUAUCAUAUCGUUUUUAUCAAGUUUUAUUAAAUGUAGAAUUACUUGAAAACAAGGUGAAGGACUAAAAGAUCACCUUCUACUAAUGAACAAGGGAUAUUGCAUUAGAAAGAGAGGAUCGUGUAGGAAAUGAAAGCUGAUGGAAUAAACAUAGAAGAAGCGGAAGCUUUGUGCUCGUUCGAAAUAUAAUUCUCGCGGCGUGCACCAGUCUGGUGGACGCGCGCGUCGAUUGAUUCGUUAAUUAAGUCGUGGAAAUACUUUUGCACGCAUGCGACAGGACGUAUUAAUCGUCGAACGCCGGAGGUCAUAUAUUGUUUGUGACGCUUUAGACGCGAACAUUGAUUGCGAGAGAGACGCCGGCGUCGGUCGGCGGUUUGCAGAGGAGAGACGCUGCUCGGGGGAGCACCGCCGUGUCCCGGGGUAGGAAAGGAAGGAGAGGGAGCGGCGAUAUUAUUGAUUUAUGUCCCGUUCUACGUUAUGUAUUCUAGCUCCUCCACACCGGUGCCGAAUGAUCCGAGGCAAGUGCCACCGUUUUCCUCGCACUCAGCCUUCGACUUUGAAUAUUUCACACACGUUUAUCUCAUUCCGCCAAGUACAACUUUUACUUUAACGACAGUCCUGUUUCCCUCUAAACUUGCUUAAAAAUAUUAUUUCAAUUGGGAACAUUUAUUCUAAUAGGAAUACCAAGGAUCCAUUUUACAAACCUAAAGAUGAACAUAAUUAGUAGGUAUAGCUUAACUAUUGGUAUAGUUUGGUGAGACAAUCAAGGUAAGAAAAUUAAUUGUCAAUGGGCUUAUUCAGGAGGGAUGUAUUUUCUAUUCAAAUAAUUAGAUUACUAAAGUUGCACUAAUUUGUAAAUAUAGAAAUUCUUCUUCUUUAAGAGCCAUUAGCUGAACUGUCAAUUCUAAAGUACAAUAUUAAAGAAGGAACUAUAAAAAGGCUUCUAUAAUCGCAGUUAUAUAAUUAGAUCAAUGAGGGAAGAUAAGGAAAAACUAUAUAGACACGUGUACUGAAAACUUCAUUUAUACUCAGUCGAGCGCUAUAUCCUUGACGAAGAUCGGAAUUACCGGAAUCGAUAUAAGCAAUCGUAAAUCCGCGACAAAGUCCCAUCGGAGGGCAACAAGAAAAUCGCAAACGAUCAUCGUUACUACAAACGUCACGAAAGUGGCGAUCACGUACGCUGAUGGAGGGAAGCGACCAACAGGGAUAUCAAUUAUCUUCUAUGCGAAUUAUAGUUACGGGAAACACUAUGCUGGUGGGGGUAACGGUGGAAGUUGUGCGUGCCGGAAGUUAGGCUGCGCUCGGCUAGGGGCAGAGAGUACGAAGAUAGAGGCAAGAAGGGUGGUAAAGAGAGAAAGAGAGUAAAAGGAAGAGAGGGAUCUGUGAACGAGAAGCGCCGAAAAUUGAUGCAUUCCCUAUGCAAAACAGCAGAAGCACGGCGCUAGUAGUAGCUGGACAACACGCAACCGAGAAUCCUCUACGGUCUCUCUCCAUGGCAUACUCUCUCCUUGUCUCUCUUUCUCACCGCUCGUCCGUCUCGCCUUCUACCACCAUCAGCGGCUCCGUCACCUACGUCCUGAACAGAAUCGAGAGCGGUAUAGGAGCAAUUAACACUCUAUUAACACUAACGACGCUCAUACAUAACAACGGUGCCGCAGGGAUUGAAUUUAUGGUCUGUUAAUGGGGGUUACUUUAUGCGUUAUGCAGUCGUACGCGCGUCACGACGCCUGAACGGCCUCGCGUAAAUUUCGCGACGCCUGCCGCGCGCGGUUUUCUUCCUGCGCCAGAGGUGACACGUGGAACGCCCCGAUCUGUGCGUCGGACCCGCUUCUUGCAGAUUUUUCCUCGAUAGCGGUAACUGUAAUCCUCGUGGGUCUGUCUGAAUGUUUUACACGUCGACGAUCGAAAUAUUCUCCAAUGAGGGUAAGAUAAAUAAAAGAUAAAUCUGAAAUGAUAGAUUAAAGAGUAAACUCUGCUGAUAAAAAUCAAUAAACCUAAGUACAUCCUAAUAGCACGAGUAAUAAUAAAUAUCGGGCAAAUAUGAAUACGCAGUAAUUAAGAUAUUCAUUAAUUUACCAAAUUUAUGAAACCACUGCUCACAGUUCGUGCACCCUCGAUGACCCGGUUUAAAACUCAGUGUAAUCAUCAGCAGGCAAUUUCCAUUCCCAAGCGGUGUCUGAUUCGGUUGUAGGAUACUGGGAAAGGGUGAAAGAGGAAACAGGUGUACGCGUAAUCUCUCUUCGGCGAAACGCGAGUAAACAAGAAAGUUAGAGGGGCUCACCGUUCGUCGAGUGCGGCGGAGUCGAGUGCCAAAGUUCAUCGUGAGAUCCUGCCCUCCUCGCGGCUAAAGGAGACGCGGCAAGGCCGGUAAAGUGAUAAAGCGGCCAUAAAUUCUGACCGCCAUCCUCCCGCCGAGCCCCUCUAUCUUGCCGGCUCUUCACUCGACCGCCUCACACUUCUCCCCCUCUUCGUCCGUCUAUCCGUCUGUCUCUUUCUUUUCCGUCCUUUCCAUCUUCCUUCUUCUUCGCCCCCCACCCUUCUACGUUGCAACCUGGAUGCACCUGCAACAACGGAAUUGGCAAAGGUCAGCACGUGCAUUUCCUCCUCUUACGUUACGGACGCUCUUUAAUACUCACUCGAUGACGAUUCUGUUUCACGUGCUUGAUAAUGUUCAGGCGUUGGCGAGACAGCGUUGUGAAUGGUCGAAAGUGGGAAUUAUUCAGUCCAAUUUACUUUGACAAUUCAUUGUUGAUAUUUUAAACGUACCGAGUGCAUGUUUUAAGAUCCUGUUUAGUUCUUUAUUUUAUUUCUCGUUUGUUUGUCACGCAGAGUUAAUUAGACGAAUGAAUACUUACCGUUAGGUACUGUUCUUUGAAACAGAUUUCUUACGUUCAGUGGAUAUCAGUUCGUCAAGCAGAUCUGGAUAGUCUAAUGACCUAGCGGCGAGUUGAUACGAGCGACUCUACUGGCAGAACGUCCUUGACCAUAAAUAACGAAGGGAGGCAAACCGUCAAUUGACCUGACAGACGUUCGAGUCGACACGCUUGUUUGAUCUUCACCUACUUCUCGAUUACACUCGUAACUCAAGAACGACUGCAUCGAGCCUUCGAAUUUCCACUUACGUAUAUACAUAGUUUGGCGUCUAGCAGCUGGAUCAAAUUAUUUCACCAUGCUAUAUCAAAUAUCAACAAAGCUGGAACUGUAGAAGCUGGGCGAGGUAAUCUUCGUCGAAAAUUUCAUUAGCGGAUCGAACGAAAGAGCGAUGGAGUAAAGCAGCGCUGAAAUAGGAAGGGGAAAUUAGGUCAGGCAAAGACACAUGGAAUUCCACGUGGACAAAGCGAGAAUAGAGACAUCUAUACGACGUAUAGAAGAAAUCCGCGGGCUGUUACUGCUGCAGUUGGGCGAAAUGUCGAAAUCCAAUAUCGCGGUGUUCCAGGCGUACCGGCCUCCUAGAAGCUAGGCACACGGUAUGUUCGUUGCAGCGCAGGGGCGAACAGACAGAAAUCCCAAUAAAUCAUCCCGUCACGAGCCGUGAGCCAAGGCGGAGCCUCUUGCCUCGUAUUAGCCAAUAAUAAUCCUCUCCGAGGUGGAGGCCAUCUUGGAUUAUACAAUGGUUCCUUCCGCCACAAUUCGUAUAAAUGUAACCUUCGGGUUACCGGGCAACCUUUUCGAAGGGUCCCAGUGGCGUAGCGGCGAACCGCCGAUAUUUUCGUUCGACCGUGAAAGACGUCCAGCCGAUCGACCCGAAUUCGAACAUCGUUCCGGCACCACCUUGCCAAAUACGUCACAUGCCACGAAUUAGAGCUACGUAUGGUUAUCAAUCAUCGGAAUUCGAGGCCACCCUCCGGCGAUGAUUAUCCGAUCGUUCUAAUUUCAAUUUAAUUACAACGAGGGACAUUAGUUAAUACGAUCGUCGAACUCGUCUCUAUAUCUUAUCGUGAUUUGGUGUAUCGUUUAAGUUACGAGAUAUAUGGCUGAUGAAUUUAAUGACGUCUCAUGAUGAUUAUUAAGGCGUUGUAAAAUGACAGAUGGUAAUUAUAGCUAUUUGUGUCUGCCAUAUUCCAAGAUACAAUGAUCAUGAACACGGUCUCGAACUUUAAAACCAGUAGCGUAAUUAUAUACUCGCUGCUGACAUUAAAAUAAAACAAUCGAUGAAGUUCUAUCAAUCGGUUAAUUAAUGGAAAAGAGAGAAAGGACGAUGCACACACGAAGGUACGAUGAAUCUCGCGAAGCCGGGUCGAACGAUCCCA